rnacentral:ncRNA from 1 species
UAUGAUAGAGGCGCAGUAUUUAUCAGUACGAUGCUAAUUUAAGCAGGCACUUUGCAUCGGAAAGGAAAUAUUGCCGAAGCAGACGUUUAUUUUGCCUGAGGUGCGUUUGCUGGGCCGGUAUAAAAUAUGUAUCGGACUGUCACAAGUCGUGGAGAGCUAUCUU